rnacentral:rRNA from 1 species
AUUGAACGCUGGCGGCAGGCUUAACACAUGCAAGUCGAGCGGGGUGAUGGUGCUUGCACUAUCACUUAGCGGCGGACGGGUGAGUAAUGCUUAGGAAUCUGCCUAUUAGUGGGGGACAACAUCUCGAAAGGGAUGCUAAUACCGCAUACGUCCUACGGGAGAAAGCAGGGGAUCACUUGUGACCUUGCGCUAAUAGAUGAGCCUAAGUCGGAUUAGCUAGUUGGUGGGGUAAAGGCCUACCAAGGCGACGAUCUGUAGCGGGUCUGAGAGGAUGAGCCGCCACACUGGGAAUGAGACACGGCCAGGACUCCUACGGGAGGCAGCAGUGGGGAAUAUUGGACAAUGGGGGGAACCCUGAUCCAGCCAUGCCGCGUGUGUGAAGAAGGCCUUAUGGUUGUAAAGCACUUUAAGCGAGGAGGAGGCUCUUUUGGUUAAUACCCAAGAUGAGUGGACGUUACUCGCAGAAUAAGCACCGGCUAACUCUGUGCCAGCCGCCGCCGUAA